rnacentral:lncRNA from 1 species
UGAAAGAGUCAGAAAAGUAAGGAGCUACGCUAUUAUACUUUCGAAAGUACGGAGGUCUCAGUGCUGGCUAUUAUGCUUUCAAAAGUACAGAGGUCUCGGUGCUUGUGAAUUAUUUUCGAUGAUGGAACAUUCGAUUCGGCGAUCGGUUCUAUUAAACAUGACUUACAAUAUUAAAAUUAUCUAAAAAUUAAGAUUCAUAAUUUUUUGAUUUCAUUUGCCUAGUGAACGAGUAGUCUCAAAAUAAAUAUCUGAAAAUAAAAAUUUUAUUAAAAAAAAUAAAAGACAGAAUUAAAAUAAAAAAUAUUGAUCUUGUUCUUGAAGGUAAGUAGAAUUUUUUAUUAAAAUUUUAUCUAAUUUAGAUUAUUCUAUACUGCUGAACUUACAAAUAUGACAUAUCAGCCGUUAAAAUUAUUAUUUUUGAGACCUUUGAUUACUCGAUAAAUAAUGUCGAAAAAUUUUAGAAUAUAAUUUUUAAAUAAUUUUAAAAGUGUAU